rnacentral:lncRNA from 1 species
UACUAGGCUUUGAAUUUCAUGGUUAAUGUUUUGUUUUUGAAUGCAUGCAAGCAUGAUUCCGCCUUUAAUUGUUAAAUGCAUGCUAUAGAUGUUAUUCAACAUGUUUUCACAAAAUCAUCCUUCAAGUGGUAUCAGAGCCUAGGUCUAGUAGUUGGUGAAUCCUUUUGGGUUUUGUGGUUCAUAGUUUGUGAUUUAAAAGUUGUAAUAUGUUACAAGCUUUAUUCUUGUUUCUUUGAAUGUAAAUUUUGUUAGAAAAUUUGCCAUGUCAAAUGUUGUAGAUGUUGUUCAUAUGAAUGAGCAUGAAUAUUGGAGCUAAAAUUUGGUGCCAUGCUUUUGGGAAUUUUCGGCCAAAUCCAAAGGGUGAAUUUUUGGGUUCUUGUUUGACUUGUUAAAAGUGUUUUCAAGUAACUUUUGGAACCCCUAUGUACCCUAGUUUGGUUAUAUGUUAUUUCCCUAAAGUUUGAAUGGUUUUGGGAUGUUUUUGGAGUAAAAAUGUUCAUGGAAAUUUUUUGGGUUUUUCAUGAAUGUUCUUCAUUGUUCUUGACAUUUUUGCCAAGAACAAAAAGUUUUGUGUUUUGAUUCAAAGUUUUGAUUUAUUUCAUAAAGUUUAUGUUUUAUGUUUUUCAAAUGAUUUAAUGUGUUAGAUAUUUGUUUAAAUGGUGUAAGAAUUAAUGGUGGGUGUGAAAGGAUUAAUUCCCUUCACACACACCACUUGCACCACUUGCAUGCUUUAUGUCAAAACUCACAAAUCAACACACACAUCACUCUAAUCCUUCUCCAAAACCGGCCCUCCCUCAAGUGGGAGUACUUUUGGGGCUUUUAUGCAAUUACAUAAAGUUUUGAUACUUUUGUGUAUUUGCAUUUUGGCCCAAAAGUUUACGUUUUUACGUUUAGGUCCAAAAACGCUAAAGGACAAAUUGUUUUGCUCCUUUAAUGAAGUUUUUGCAUUGUUUAAAUUUUGGGUUCUAGUUGUAAUUACAUGAAGUAGUGGACUUUUGUGUUUUUACAAAGUGACCCCAAAAGUUUGUGUUUUCGCAUUAUGACCCAAAUAAGUUGUGGUUAUUGCAUAUUGGCCCAAAUUAGGUGGAGAACAAAAUUAUUUUGUCUCUUUAAAUGAGAAUUGGAUUUUCAUUUCAUUUAGCUCCAUUUAAAUCAAUCUUAUGGAUACAAAAACCAAAUGAAAAUGUUGCAUUCAAUUUAAUUAGUUAAUGUGUUAAUUAAUUAAAGGGUGAUUAUGAACCUAAGCCUACGAUAAUUGAGCUAUGUGAAAGGCCGUUUCAAAUUUGUUUGAACCAUGGGAAUGUGUAGAUUAGAUUUUGGUUGUAAUUUGAUUUGAUCAAAUGUUGUAAAAGAGUAUAAGCUCUUCUUUACUUUAAAGUAAUUUGAUUUAUGCAAAUGUUGUAAUGAGCAU